rnacentral:rRNA from 1 species
UACGUAGGGUCCGAGCGUUGUCCGGAAUUACUGGGCGUAAAGAGCUCGUAGGUGGUUUGUCGCGUUGUUCGUGAAAACUCACAGCUUAACUGUGGGCGUGCGGGCGAUACGGGCAGACUUGAGUACUGCAGGGGAGACUGGAAUUCCUGGUGUAGCGGUGAAAUGCGUAGAUAUCAGGAGGAACACCUGUGGCGAAGGCGGGUCUCUGGGCCGAUACUGACGCUGAGGAGCGAAAGCGUGGGGAGCGAACAGG